rnacentral:ncRNA from 1 species
CCCGGACCGCUCCACGCUUUCCGGUUCGCCGGGGCAACAUAAGGAGGAAACAUCCGCCGGCCGGCGGUGCGGCAGUGUGGAGACCUGCCGUAAGCCCGUUCGGGUCACGCUCCCGGACGGGGAGGUCCCUGUGCGGAGGCAGAGGGACUGCGGCCCAUCAGUAUGU